rnacentral:tRNA from 1 species
GGGGUUGUGGCUCAGUGGUAGAGCACUUGCCUAGCAUGCGUGAGGCCUGGGUUGGAUUCUCAGCACCA